GUCUGGCGAGGGUCCUUUGUGCUGGUUCAUGGAUGGCAGCUUCUAGCUGUGUUCUCAUCGGGUGGACGGAGCUAGCUAGUUUCCUGGGGUCGCUUAUUUUUAUCUUAUUUUUCAGAGACACAGAUUUAUUAGGAAAACAGAUGCACAUUCAUGGGAGAAUGUAAGAUAUCUCAAGGGAGAGAGGUCUUUUGGGGUAAAGUAGGAAAUACACAUGCAAAUGAGAAUGCGGGCCCUCUUCAGAGGGAGAGACUUGUUAUGGGUGUUAGUAUUGCUAGAACGGACUAGGGGAAGCAUCCGGGCAGGGUUACACAAUUUUGGUCCAGUUUCUCUAGCGCUUGCAAGUGCAGGAGUCACGGGUGCAGGCUGAGGGUGAGGGCUGAGUUGCUCAGGAAUGCUCUUUGGAGUCUCUUUUAUAAAGCACUAAUCCCAUUCAUGAUGGCUCCACACUCAGGACCCGGUCACCUCUCAGGGGUUCUACCCCUUAAGGCCAGCACACUGGUGAUUAGGUUUCAACAGAUGAAUUUUGAGGGGAUUAUAAAUAUUCAGGCCAUAGCAAAUAGCUUCACAUUUCUAUUAGACUGAGAAGACUCAAAUCCCAGCCACAGCUUGCAAGCCCCAGACUGAUCCGGCCUUGGCGCCUCUGCAGGGCGUGCUCCCACCUCCCUACUCCAUGUCUCUUGAAGCUCACUCACCUCCUUCCCCUGCCCUGGGCAUUCUGUGCUCACUGUGGGGAUUUCACACAUGCUCCCCUCUGCCUGCAGACUUCUCAAGGGGGCCUUCUCAGGCCCUUCCUAAUUCUUGGUCAUGUUUAUUAGGUGAGGGGCUCUCCUGGUACACACCUGAUACUUCCCCACCAAAACACUUACCUCAGUUUGUAAUUGCAGUUGGUUUUUGUUUGUGUACAUGGGUUCCGCAUGCAUGGACCUAACCAACUGAAUUGAAAAUAUUUGAAAGACAAUUUUGUCUGUACCGAAUGUGUACAGACUUUAUUUCCUUGUCAUUAUUCCCUAAACAAUGCAGUAGAAGAAGUAUUUACCUAGCAUUUACAUUAUGUUGAAUAUGACCAUAGAGAAAUGAUUUGAAGUAUAUGGGAGGAUGUGUGUACUUGUAUGGAAAUAUUGUGCCAUUUUAUAGAAGGAACUUGGGGGUAUCUGCAGGAAUUCUGGAACUAAUCCCUCGUGGAUAUUGAGGAAUAACUGUGUACAUCUAUCUAUGGAUUAUUUGAUCAUUGUUUGUCUCCCUCACUAGGUAAGAAAGUUACAGAAGGUGGGAACCAUGUUUUUGUCCACAACUGUAUUCUGGUAUCUUACACAGCACUUGGAGUAUGAUGAUGAGGAAACGGAAGUUUAGGGAGGUAACCUACACUUCUGCUUCCUGGUAGGAUAUAGAAAGCAACAAUAGGCCAUCUCCAUUCUACUGGGAUAAUAGUGGGAUAAUAGAAGAAUGCUGGAUACGUUGUAACAAGGGAAGAUCCGAAGACCAGGAGAGCUGGAGAGCUGUGUGAGCCACAAGUGCAGACAGCUGAACCGGAGAUGCAGCCAGCACACCUCUAUCUCAUUUUCUGUCCCAGAUGUUUGAAAAGGCCCAGAAGCCCAGUUCGUGAAUGUGGGUGGCUGCAGCAUGUGGAGGCUCGGAAAUGGAGCCAAUUCAGAACUCUCCAGCCUGAGUCCCUGGCUGUUGGUGGGACUGUUAGGUCCUGCAGCGCUGGGUCAUGUGGACUUUCCCACGUACUUUUCAUGGAAGCGUUUGUAAGACCAGUAAUCCAUUCAUUCUUUAAAUACAGGGACAUUCCUGAAACCAGAACAUGUAGCUCAGCAUUGCAAUGACAACUGUGAAAUCAGGUUGUCUUCCUCAGGCACUCACCUGUGCCCUGCUCUGUGAGGGUGUCGAGGGAGAUGGCAGCAGCCUCUCUUUCUGGGGAUGAAUGUGUUCCCUCCUCUGCGCUGGAGAACCGUGGCCUUUCUUACAGUCCCAGGUGUCCAGGCAUGCUGGGCUCUGCCGAGGAGACAGAGAGCUGCCCAGCACUGGAGAUAAGCAGCUGGGCUUUCCAGUGGCCACUCUGAAGUGGCAUUGGUCUAAAUAACCUCUGAGGAUGCUGACCUGGGACUGUGUGGUGGACAGGUACCAGCUCUGGAGCCCGACAGCCCUGGGGUCGAAUCUCAGUUCUCUGACACACCUGUUUUCCUUCUCUGCAGAAAUGAAGAUGAUAAUAUCACUGUCUCAGGGUUUCCAUGAGAAAUAAAUGAAACAAUAUACCUAGA